CGCAGUUGAAAUUACAGUCGUCUAUCUAUGAAAUAAAGGCAAGAUAAAACAUUUGUAUAAAAUAUUUAAUUUAAAUAAACUUUCAAUUACAUUACAACACUACAAGUACGAAUUUGUUGUGUUAGCACUAUUUAUUUGUUUUUAAACAACUACUUCUAGUCUGUCAUCUUCAUUUGUUUGUAUUUCUGUAUACUAUUGGGAAGAAUGUCAGAUAUCUCGUCAUCUGAAGAUUUUUACAAGAUAUUGAAUAAGAAACUGGAUGAUAAUCUGUUGAAACUCAACGAGAUGCAAGACAAUAUCCUAAAAAUGAGAUCCCAGUACGCUAUGAUUCAGUUGGAAUUGAACAACUUGUACAGUCCCAAGUAUUUGCAAUUGUUGCAGCAGAUGCCAGAAAUGGAGGAGGGAGUUGACCUUUACAAGCAAUACAUUGAGAUGAUUCAAGGAUUGAACAUAACUGAUGUGCAGUCUGUUAAUCCGGAACAGAUGUCAGUACAGAAAAACAGAACUCUGAAUAGCUUGUGAUAUUAAUAGCACUGAUCUGUGUUUUCAAGUUUAAGUAGUUUUUGUUUUAUUAUUCAAAAUAACUUAUGUGCAAUCUGUAACCCCGAACAGAUGUCUGUACAGAAACAGAGAACUCUGAAUAUCUUGUAACAUUAAUAGCACUGAUCUGGGUUUUCAAGUUUAAGUCAUUGUUGUUUUAUUAUUGAACAUAACUGAUGUGCAGUCUGAUAAUUCGGAAGAGAUGUCAGUACAGAAACACAUAACUCUGAAUAGUUUUUAACAUUAAUGGCACUGAUCUGCGUUUUCAAGUUUAAGUAAUUUUUGUUUUAUUAUUGAAAAUAACUUAGUUGCAGUUUGUUAAUCCGGAACAAAUGUCUGUACAGAAACAGAAAUCAGAACAGCUUGUGAUAUUAGUGGCACUGAUCUGCGUUUUCAAGUUAAAGUUAUUUUUGUUUUAUUAUUGAAAAUAACUGAGUUGUAGUUUGUUAAUCCGGAACAGAUGUCUGUACAGAAACAGAAAUCAGAACAGCUUGUGAUAUUAGUGGCCCUGAUCUGUGUUUUCAAGUUUAAUUGUUGUUUUAGUUUAAGUCAAGUUAUGUAAUUAGUGUGUUAAAAGUUACCUUAAUGUAAAUCAAAAUAUGUUUUUGUUACCUUCUAAUAUUGUCUAUAUAUAGUUUUUCAAUGUGAAAACAAUAAAGAGUUAAUUCACAACAUGA